UACGUAGGGUGCGAGCGUUGUCCGGAAUUACUGGGUGUAAAGGGUCCGUAGGCGGGGAGAUAAGUCGAUGGUGAAAUCCUGCAGCUCAACUGCAGAACUGCCGUUGAUACUGUCUCUCUUGAGUUCGAGAGAGGAUAAUGGAAUUCAUGGUGUAGCGGUGAAAUGCGUAGAUAUCAUGAAGAACACCGAUUGCGAAGGCAGUUAUCUGGCUCGACACUGACGCUCAGGGACGAAAGCGUGGGGAGCAAACAGG
rnacentral:rRNA from 1 species